GGUAACACUAACUGGAGGACCGAACCGACUAAUGUUGAAAAAUUAGCGGAUGACUUGUGGCUGGGGGUGAAAGGCCAAUCAAACCGGGAGAUAGCUGGUUCUCCCCGAAAGCUAUUUAGGUAGCGCCUCGUGAACUCAUCUUCGGGGGUAGAGCACUGUUUCGGCUAGGGGGUCAUCCCGACUUACCAACCCGAUGCAAACUACGAAUACCGAAGAAUGUUAUCACGGGAGACACACGGCGGGUGCUAACGUCCGUCGUGAAGAGGGAA
rnacentral:rRNA from 1 species